AUUGAACGCUGGCGGCAUGCCUUACACAUGCAAGUCGAACGGUAACAGGCCGCAAGGUGCUGACGAGUGGCGAACGGGUGAGUAAUGCAUCGGAACGUGCCCAGUCGUGGGGGAUAACUGCUCGAAAGAGCAGCUAAUACCGCAUACGACCUGAGGGUGAAAGCGGGGGACCGAAAGGCCUCGCGCGAUUGGAGCGGCCGAUGUCAGAUUAGGUAGUUGGUGGGGUAAAGGCCUACCAAGCCGACGAUCUGUAGUUGGUCUGAGAGGACGACCAGCCAAACUGGGACUGAGACGCGGCGCAGACUCCUACGGGAGGCAGCAGUGGGGAAUUUUGGACAAUGGGGGCAACCCGGAUCCGGCAAUGCCGCGUGCAGGAAGAAGGCCUUCGGGUUGUAAACUGCUUUUGUCAGGGAAGAAACAGCAGCUCUAACACAGUUUGCGAAUGACGGUACCUGAAGAAUAAGCACCGGCUAACUACGUGCCAGCAGCCGCAGUAAUAC
rnacentral:rRNA from 1 species